rnacentral:tRNA from 1 species
GGUUCCAUAGUGUAGCGGUUGGCACGUCUGCUUUACACGCAGAAGGUCCUGGGUUCGCGCCCCAGCGGAGCCA